GCUACCAUAUCACGUUGAAACACCAGUUCCCGUACGAUAACCGACAUAAAGCAACGUCGAGCCUGAUCAGUACUUAGAUGGGUGACUGCUUGGGAAUACCAAGUGCUGUAAG